rnacentral:sRNA from 1 species
GGUUUUCCAACUGCUCUCAAGGAGACUUUAGUACAGCUGGGAACACAGAUACGUCCUUAUUUAAAAGUGUAUUGAAAGUCAAUGUGGCAAGUUUCAGAUCAAUCGAAGCUGGAGACUGGAGGUCGUUGGAGUGCUGUUGGAGGAAGUACUGUUGGAGGUUGGAGCAAGGAGAACAGUUGUUGGAAGGAACUUGUUAGAAGAGCCACUCUCGAAGAUAUGGUGUAGACAAAGCCUGAAGCUGCAGGCUUUAGCAUAUAUCAUUACAGACUAUAUGGGCAUCCGAAAUGAAAGUUUCAUGAAAUUAGCUGCAGUAGGGACCUGGAUGGGGGACUUUGUCACAGCUUGGAUGGUCACUGAUAUGAUGCUUCAGGACAAACCCUAUCCUGACUGGGGAAAAUCAGCAAGAGCUUUCUGGAAGAAAGGAAAUGUUAGGAUCACUUUAUUCUGGACAGUUCUUUUUACUCUGACGUCUGUGGUUGUACUUGUGAUUACAACGGACUGGAUCAGCUGGGACAAGCUGAAUCGGGGAUUUUUGCCCAGUGAUGAAGUUUCCAGAGCAUUCCUUGCUUCUUUUAUCUUGGUCUUUGACCUCCUUAUUGUGAUGCAGGACUGGGAAUUCCCACAUUUCAUGGGAGAUGUUGAUGUAAAUCUCCCUGGUUUGCACACCCCUCACAUGCAGUUCAAGAUUCCUUUCUUCCAGAAAAUCUUCAAGGAGGAAUAUCGUAUUCACAUAACAG